GGAUUGUGGCUCAGUGGUAGAGCACUUGCCUAGCAUGUGUGAGGUCCUGGGUUCCAUCCUCAGCACCA
rnacentral:tRNA from 1 species